UGUGUUUGUGGUUAGUAUCGAGGUGGCUGAGCAACACAAAGGUGUGUGUUGACGGUAAAGUUAAACGCGAUGAAGUCGGAGGUGAUAGUUGAGCUGGUCAAGUUCAUCUUCCUGGUGAUGAACUUCUUCAUCCUGGCUGUGGGCACCAGCGUGGCCGCCUGUGGCGUUUGGAUCCUGUUUGACUCCACAAGCUUCAUCGGCGUCGUUUCUUCUUCCGUGGGGCUACAGAUGGUGGGGGCGGGGCUGCUGUUGAUCGGCGGCCUGGCGGUGGCGUCCAGCGUGACGGGGUGUCUGGGAGCGCGCUGGGAAAAGAGACCUCUCCUGCUGGCUUACGUGUGCAUCCUGCUGCUGCUGCUCCUGGGUCAGCUGCUGCUCCUGCUGCUGCUCCUCCUCAACAAGCACUCGAUCGAGGAGCAUGCCGACGCGGUGGUGAAUGACAUCAUGCGCCGAUAUGACGGCGACAGUUACCAGGACCGACUACUGGACGACCUGCAGCGCCACGGGGUGUGUUGCGGCCUGACGAGUCCGUCCGAUUGGCUGCAGAAUUCCUUUAUCCAGACGCUCAACGCCAGCGCUACGCACGUGCUUCCUUGUUCCUGUUUCGGCUCGCAUCAGAGCGCCUCCCCCUCGCCGUGGUGCACCCGGGUGGACGCCGUGCGCGACUUUGUACUGGGAAACCACACACACACUCAGGCUGCCCUUGGCGCGGCAGGGCUGCAGAGGGAAGCUCGGUGAUUGGCUGCAGGAGAACACGGUGACCAUAGUGGCCAUGGACCUCACGCUGAUGCUCACACAGGUCCUGCUGUUGGCGCUGGCGGCCAAUCUGUACCUGGCGUUUGGCCAGAAGACGACCAAUGAGAUGGCAGCUAUUGACCCCGCCCACCACAAUCUUGAACCCUCCUAGUAGUUUUACAUACAGUAAUAUACAUAAAUACAGUAUAACACAUAAUAUAUAGGAGCAAAUAAAGUGUUUCUCCUUCCGG